CCUACGGGUGGCAGCAGUGAGGAAUAUUGGUCAAUGGGCUUACGCCUGAACCAGCCAAGUCGCGUGAGGGAAGACUGCCCUAUGGGUUGUAAACCUCUUUUGUCAGGGAGCAAUUGGCGCUACGUGUAGCGUUAUCGAGAGUACCUGAAGAAAAAGCAUCGGCUAACUCCGUGCCAGCAGCCGCGGUAAUACGGAGGAUGCGAGCGUUAUCCGGAUUUAUUGGGUUUAAAGGGUGCGUAGGCGGAGUGCCAAGUCAGCGGUAAAAUCGCGGGGCUCAACCUCGUUCCGCCGUUGAAACUGGGUGUCUUGAGAUGUCGAGAGGUAUGUGGAAUGCGCGGUGUAGCGGUGAAAUGCUUAGAUAUUGCGCAGAAAUCCGAGUGCGAAGGCAGCAUACCGGCGGCGAUCUGACGCUGAGGCACGAAAGCGUGGGUAUCGAACAGGAUUAGAUACCCGAGUAGUC
rnacentral:rRNA from 1 species